GUAUUUGUUGUGAAAGCACUCAGUCAUUUUCUCCACUUCUGCAGAAUACUUCCCCUCCGUUUCAUCCUGGCUUUCAUACUGCAGCGCCCUAUGUGCUGCUUUUUUGUCUCUGGUUAAUUAACAUUUAACUAACACAUUGUUUUCUUUGUGAGAGUCUCCCUCGCCGCCUUCUUCUUCUUCUUCUUUUUUUUUUCUUGGCUUCCUCAUUACUUUGUCUUCUUCCCCUUCCUCUCCUCUUCGCUCGGUGUCGUCUUUGAUUUCAGCCCUGCGGCAAACUGAUCCAAACAUCUGCUGUGAAAAGCCUCUGCCGUCUUCCCCAAAAGUUAAACUGUUUCAACCAAAGUGCCCCGAGCGCAAAUAGAAAAGUAAAGCUGCGCACUGAGGCUGAGAACGCGAAGCGAUAUCAGUGCUGAAGUUCAGAGGAUUUGGAGGGAAAUUAGAUGGUGCCUGUGGACAUGGCCUCGAAGAGUCAUUUCUUCCUUUUCCCUCCAUUUCAAUCAAAUACAACCACAGAAAGCAGGUUUAUAGACACAAAAUAAGCGAUUCUCAUCUGUGGUCCAAAUAGUAAUAA